AUUGAACGCUGGCGGCAGGCCUAACACAUGCAAGUCGAGCGAGCGGCGGACGGGUGAGUAAUGUCUGGGAGAACGCCUGAUGGAGGGGGGUAACUACUGGAAACGGUAGCUAAUACCGCAUACCAUCAGAUGUGCCCAGAUGGGAUUAGCUAGUAGGUGGGGUAACGGCUCACCUAGGCGACGAUCCCUAGCUGGUCUGAGAGGAUGACCAGCCACACUGGAACUGAGACACGGUCCAGACUCCUACGGGAGGCAGCAGUGGGGAAUAUUGCACAAUGGGCGCAAGCCUGAUGCAGCCAUGCCGCGUGUAUGAAGAAGGCCUUCGGGUUGUAAAGUACUUUCAGCGGGGAGGCGUUACCCGCAGAAGAAGCACCGGCUAACUCCGUGCCAGCCGCCGCGGUAAUUC
rnacentral:rRNA from 1 species